GAUUAACGCUGGCGGCGUGCAUAACACAUGCAAGUCGAACGAUGAAACUUAGUAGACUUCUUCGGAAAGACACUAAACGGAUUAGUGGCGAACGGGUGAGUAACGCGUGAGUAACCUGCCUUACACAAGGGGAUAGCCUUUGGAAACGAAGAAUAAUACCCUAUAAAACCAUAAAAGCACAUGCUAGAAUGGUCAAAGUGAUAGCGGUGUAAGAUGGACUUGCGUCUGAUUAGCUAGUUGGUGAGAUAAAAGCUCACCAAGGCAACGAUCAGUAGCCGGCUUGAGAGAGUGUACGGCCACAUUGGGACUGAGACACGGCCCAGACUCCUACGGGAGGCAGCAGUGGGGAAUUUUGCACAAUGGGGGAAACCCUGAUGCAGCGACGCCGCGUGAUUUAGAAGGCCUUCGGGUUGUAAAAAUCUUUUGUAUAGGAAGAAAAUGACAGUACUAUACGAAUAAGGUCCGGCUAAUUACGUG
rnacentral:rRNA from 1 species